UGGUGUGAUACAAUAGAAAAAUAGUCGGGCCUCGUGCAGGCCCUAAGGCCCAACACGGAGGGGCUAGAUAUGAAACAAAAUCACUCAUGGAGAGACAGGAAAUGCGAUGGCCGCCGCGCCGGGUUUCAUCACCGGCAACGAUGAUUCGACGUGGCAACAUCUGCGUCGUCUCCACCUUCACCUCCUCCGAUCUAAGCCUAAUUUAACAGCGGAAUAAACACAAGAUGAACCUUACCAGCGACGGUGAAGACGAAUCAAAGAAGAAGGACUGAGCUCCAACCACAAUCUGCACUUCAACAGCAGAAUCGACAACGUGAAAGGAAGAGAGAGGCCAACGGUAACGACGGAAGCGGAUUCGUUGACGACGUCGGCUUAGAGUUCAGGAGUUCGUAUGGUGACAUAAUGGAUUAAGUCGCAGCGGUGGUUGUUUGAAGGUUUUGGUUGUGGAGGUUUAGCAGGUUGAGGAAGAAAGAGGAGGAAGAGUUCGUUAUUGGCGGUGGUUAGGAUUUGAAAAGAGAAGGGAAGCGCGCGGAACCCCCCAGUCGAAAAGAGAGCUUGCUUUUAUAGAGAACUGUUGCUGCGUUUUGGCUCGACUCAAUGCCAUUUUGAAACUUACGUUGUGUUUAUUUUGCAGCUGAUGUCGGCUCGUAUGCUAUGGCUUUGCACGUUACAUUCCAUUGUAUUUUCAUGUUGGCUUCGGAACGCUGCUUUGAUGCUUCUUGUGCUUCACGUUUGCAUUGCUUGGCUUUGAGCUUGUUGCAGCUGGUGAUUGACUUAUGGUGGUGUAGCUGACGGCAUUUUGGUAGCUUGUUGGUUUGUUUGCUCGCCGCAGCAGCUGUUAGCUUCGGAAGCCUUUGGCUUGCAUACACUCGUUACCAUUGCCGUUUCCGCUGGUUGUUCGGGUUGAUGCUGCUGUUCUUCCAUUGCCGGUAUCGGCUUCGGCGCCGCCGUUAUGGCUUGGAGCAGCUCUUGUUGUAGCUGGAAUUAUGCAGCUUGUUGAUGGUUCCAUUGGCAGCUUUUUACAUAUUUUUUCACUGUGUUUUGGUAGCUUAUACGUUGCCACUUGAGUGUAGAAGCUAAUAUGCUAUGCUGCUAUCGGUUUGCAAUAGCUUUUGGUGUGAAUUUUCCUUUGGCUACAACAGUUUUACAUUGCCUCUAUUCUCUCUAAUGUAAAGCGUUAUUGGUUUGGAAAAUGUAUAAUGGAUCACAUGGAUUUCUAUGCAUUGUAAAUGGAUUUUGAAAAUUGGUUUUGACAAUGGAUUUGAAAAAUGUAUUGUAAAUGGAUUUAGCAAAAUGGAUUAUGAAAAUUUGUUUUAAAUGGUUAA